UUUUUCCGUAGGGUGAACCUGCGGAAGGAUCAUUACCACACUUUAAAAAACUGUCCACGUGAACUGUAAGCAAGUCUAGCGCUGUGACUGAGCUGGUGUUUUCAUUUUUGGACACUGGAACGGGAGUCAGCAGGACGAAGGUUGGUCUGUUGUAAUGCAAGUUAUGAUGGACUAGCUGAUGAACUUUUGUUUUUAAACCCUUACCUAAAUACUGAUUUAUACUGUGGGGACGAAAGUCCUUGCUUUUACUAGAUAACAACUUUCAGCAGUGGAUGUCUAGGCUCGCACAUCGAUGAAGAACGCUGCGAACUGCGAUACGUAAUGCGAAUUGCAGAAUUCAGUGAGUCAUCGAAAUUUUGAACGCAUAUUGCACUUUCGGGUUAUGCCUGGAAGUAUGUCUGUAUCAGUGUCCGUAAAUCAAACUUGCCUUUCUUUUUCUGUGUAGUCAGGGAUGGAAUGUGCAGAUGUGAAGUGUCUCGCAUGGUUGCGUUCGUUUUUUCGAUCGAGAAUCUGUCGAGUCCUUUUAAAUGGACACGGUCUUUUCUAUGGUUUCUAUGAAGUGUAAUGGUUGGAAGGCAGUGAUUUUCGGAUUGCUGGCGGCUUUUGGCGACUUCGGUAUGAACGUAUGGAGACUAGCUCAAUUCGUGGUAUGUUAGGCUUCGGCUCGACAAUGUUGCGUAAUUGUGUGUGGUCUUUGUUUGUGCCUUGAGGUGUACUAGAGGUUGUCGGUUUGAACCGUAAGUGAUUGUUUAGUAGAGCAUUUUCACGAUGUAUGGAGACGCUGCAUUUAGUUGCGUAGAGAGAUUGAUUUGGGAAAUUUUGUAUCAUUGUCAAUUGCAAGAUUGUGUAUGGUAUCUCAAUGGACCUGAUAUCAGACAAGACACCCCCUUUCCC
rnacentral:ncRNA from 1 species